rnacentral:rRNA from 1 species
AUUGAACGCUGGCGGCAUGCCUUACACAUGCAAGUCGAACGGUAACAGGUCUUCGGAUGCUGACGAGUGGCGAACGGGUGAGUAAUACAUCGGAACGUGCCUAGUAGUGGGGGAUAACUACUCGAAAGAGUGGCUAAUACCGCAUGAGAUCUACGGAUGAAAGCAGGGGAUCGCAAGACCUUGUGCUACUAGAGCGGCCGAUGGCCGAUUAGGUAGUUGGUGGGAUAAAAGCUUACCAAGCCGACGAUCUGUAGCUGGUUUGAGAGGACGAUCAGCCACACUGGGACUGGGACACGGCCCAGACUCCUACGGGAGGCAGCAGUGGGGAAUUUUGGACAAUGGGCGCAAGCUUGAUCCAGCAAUGCCGCGUGCAGGAUGAAGGCCUUCGGGUUGUAAACUGCUUUUGUACGGAACGAAAAGCCCCGGGUUAAUACCCUGGGGUCAUGACGGUACCGUAAGAAUAAGCACCGGCUAACUACGUGCCAGCCGCCGCCGCGG